rnacentral:rRNA from 1 species
UGGGGAAUAUUGCACAAUGGGCGGAAGCCUGAUGCAGCGACGCCGCGUGAGGGAUGACGGCCUUCGGGUUGUAAACCUCUUUCAGUAGGGACGAAGCGUAAGUGACGGUACCUGCAGAAGAAGCACCGGCUAACUACGUGCCAGCAGCCGCGGUAAUACGUAGGGUGCGAGCGUUGUCCGGAAUUACUGGGCGUAAAGAGCUCGUAGGCGGUUUGUCACGUCGUCUGUGAAAUCCUAGGGCUUAACCCUGGACGUGCAGGCGAUACGGGCUGACUUGAGUACUACAGGGGAGACUGGAAUUUCUGGUGUAGCGGUGGAAUGCACAGAUAUCAGGAAGAACACCGGUGGCGAAGGCGGCCUUCUGGGCCACGACUGACGCUGAGGCGCGAAAGCUAGGGGAGCGAACAGG